CUUCAUGGCGGCUGUGCGUGGGGCACCCUCGGGUGCGCCGGUUUCCUAUUGGCCGGUCUGCUAACCCGCGUACAGCUGCCACCCAC
rnacentral:antisense_RNA from 1 species